rnacentral:rRNA from 1 species
UACGAAUCGUCCAAACGUUGUUCGGAUUCACUGGGUUUAAAGGGCGCGUAGGCGGUGCGUUAAGUCGGCGGUGAAAUACUUCGGCUCAACCGGAGAAUUGCCGCUGAAACUGGCGUGCUCGAGGGAGGUAGAGGUGCGUGGAACUUCCGGUGGAGCGGUGAAAUGCGUUGAUAUCGGAAGGAACACCUGUGGCGAAAGCGAUGCACUGGACCUCUUCUGACGCUGAGGCGCGAAAGCCAGGGGGAGCGAACGGG